rnacentral:ncRNA from 2 species
UGACACGCAGCGGGAGAACCUCCGCGUCGGAGGCGCCGUAGGAGCAAUCUCCUCCCCGAGAAACUCUCAGGCCCAAUACCGUUGCGUCGAG